rnacentral:rRNA from 1 species
GACGAACGCUGGCGGCGUGCCUAAUACAUGCAAGUCGAACGGUUUAGUUCCAAGAGGCUUGCCUUUUGGAACUAGACAGUGGCGGACGGGUGAGUAACACGUAGGCAACCUACCUGUCAAACCGGGAUAACCUCGGGAAACCGAAGCUAAACCCGGAUAAGCUCCUUUUUCGCAUGAAGGGGGAGUGAAAGGGUGCGACCUGAUGACAGAUGGGCCUGCGGCGCAUUAGCUAGUAGGUAGGGUAACGGCCUACCUAGGCGAUGAUGCGUAGCCGACCUGAGAGGGCGUACGGCCACACUGGGACUGAGAUACGGCCCAGACUCCUACGGGAGGCAGCAGUAGGGAAUCUGCGGCAAUGGGCGAAAGCCUGACCGAGCAACGCCGCGUGAGUGAGGAAGGCCUUCGGGUUGUAAAACUCUGUUGUUUGGGAAGAAGGGAAAGGGUAGGACCCUUAGGUGACGGUACCAAACGAGAAAGCCCCGGCUAACUACGUG